rnacentral:rRNA from 1 species
UACGUAGGGUGCGAGCGUUAAUCGGAAUUACUGGGCGUAAAGAGCGUGUAGGCGGCCCGGUAAGUCCGCUGUGAAAGUCGGGGGCUCAACCCUCGAAUGCCGGUGGAUACUGUCGGGCUAGAGUGCGGAAGAGGCGAGUGGAAUCCUGGUGUAGCGGUGAAAUGCGCAGAUAUCAGGAGGAACACCGGUGGCGAAGGCGGUCUCUGGGCAUUACCUGACGCUGAGGAGCGAAAGUGUGGGGAGCGAACAGGA